AAUUCUUUCAUCUCUCUUUUGUCCAAUGCUCGCUUGAGACCAACGAGCGCUGUUGCUUUGAGCAUCAAGCAUCUCAGCGGUCGUUGGACACCGGCUGACGCUGGGUUGCCCCGGUUCCAACCGACGCAGGGUUGUUGCCUUCCUAAUUCUAUCAAAUCGAUGAAAAUUCAUGAAAAAAAAAAGUCAGCCAAACUCUACAUAGAAUCUAUGGAUUUCUAAAUCCACAAAAAAUCAUAGACUUUUUAAAGUCCAAAAAAAUCCAACAGAAUCCCAAACCAAUACACCCCCCUUUUGAUUAGCCCAUCGAACUAAUCGACAUCUAGAAUUUUUUUAAAAAUUAAUUAAUACCCCAUCCGUC
rnacentral:lncRNA from 1 species